rnacentral:rRNA from 1 species
UAUCUGCAGUCGAGGGGCAGCGCAGUGUAGCAAUACAUGGGCGGCGACCGGCAAACGGGUGCGGAACACGUACGCAACCUUCCCAAAACUGGUGAAUAGCCUUUCGAAAGAGAGAUUAAUACACCGUAACUUAAUGAAGUGGCAUCACUUUAUUAAUAUAGCUCCGGCGGUUUUGGAUGGGCGUGCGGCUGAUUAGGUAGUUGGCGGGGUAACAGCCCACCAAGCCUACGAUCAGUAACUGGUGUGAGAGCACGACCAGUCACACGGGCACUGAGACACGGGCCCGACUCCUACGGGAGGCAGCAGUAAGGAAUAUUGGUCAAUGGACGCAAGUCUGAACCAGCCAUGCCGCGUGGAGGAUGAAGGUCCUCUGGAUUGUAAACUUCUUUUAUCGGAGAAGAAACCCUAGAAUUCUUUCUGGGUUGACGGUACCCGAUGAAUAAGCACCGGCUAACUCCGUGCCAGCAGCCGCGGUAAUACGGAGGGUGCAAGCGUUAUCCGGAUUCACUGGGUUUAAAGGGAGCGUAGGUGGGAUGGUAAGUCAGUGGUGAAAUCUCCGGGCUUAACUCGGAAACUGCCGUUGAUACUAUCGUUCUUGAAUAUUGUGGAGGUAAGCGGAAUAUGUCAUGUAGCGGUGAAAUGCUUAGAUAUGACAUAGAACACCGAUAGCGAAGGCAGCUUGCUACACAAUUAUUGACACUGAGGCUCGAAAGCGUGGGGAUCAAACAGGAUUAGAUACCCUGGUAGUCCACGCCCUAAACGAUGGAUACUCGACAUACGCGAUACACAGUGUGUGUCUGAGCGAAAGCAUUAAGUAUCCCACCUGGGGAAGUACGACCGCAAGGUUGAA